rnacentral:rRNA from 1 species
ACGGGGCCCGCACAAGCGGUGGAGCAUGUGGUUUAAUUCGAUGCAACGCGAAGAACCUUUACCUGGUCUUGACAUCCACGGAAGUUUUCAGAGAUGAGAAUGUGCCUUCGGGAACCGUGAGACAGGUGCUGCAUGGCUGUCGUCAGCUCGUGUUGUGAAAUGUUGGGUUAAGUCCCGCAACGAGCGCAACCCUUAUCCCUUUGUUGCCAGCGGUCCGGCCGGGAACUACAAAGGAGACUGCCAGUGAUAAACUGGAGGAAGGUGGGAUGACGUCAAGUCAUCAUGGCCCUUACGACCAGGGCUACACACGUGCUACAAUGGCGCAUACAAAGAGAAGCGACCUCGCGAGAGCAAGCGGACCUCAUAAAGUGCGUCGUAGUCCGGAUUGGAGUCCGCAACUCGACUCCAUGAAGUCGGAAUCGCUAGUAAUCGCGGAUCAGCCAUGCCGCGGUGAAUACGUUCCCGGGCCUU